GUAGGGGGCGAGCGUUGUUCGGAAUUACUGGGCGUAAAGGGCAUGUAGGCGGCCCGGCAAGCCUGGCGUGAAAGACCGCAGCUCAACUGCGGGGAUGCGCUGGGAACUGGUGGGCUUGAGUUACGGAGAGGGAGCUGGAAUUCCUGGUGUAGGGGUGAAAUCUGUAGAGAUCAGGAAGAACACCGAUGGCGAAGGCAAGCUUCUGGCCGAUAACUGACGCUGAGGUGCGAAAGUGUGGGGAUCAAAC
rnacentral:rRNA from 1 species